UACGAAGGGGGCUAGCGUUGCUCGGAAUCACUGGGCGUAAAGGGUGCGUAGGCGGGUCUUUAAGUCAGGGGUGAAAUCCUGGAGCUCAACUCCAGAACUGCCUUUGAUACUGAGGAUCUUGAGUCCGGGAGAGGUGAGUGGAACUGCGAGUGUAGAGGUGAAAUUCGUAGAUAUUGGGAAGAACACCAGUGGCGAAGGCGGCUCACUGGCCCGGUACUGACGCUGAGGCGCGAAAGCGUGGGGAGCAAACAGGG
rnacentral:rRNA from 1 species